rnacentral:rRNA from 1 species
GACCAGACUCCUACGGGAGGCAGCAGUGGGGAAUAUUGCACAAUGGGCGAAAGCCUGAUGCAGCAACGCCGCGUGAAGGAAGACGGUUUUCGGAUUGUAAACUUCUAUCAAUAGGGAAGAAAGAAAUGACGGUACCUAAAUAAGAAGCCCCGGCUAACUACGUGCCAGCAGCCGCGGUAAUACGGAGGAUGCGAGCGUUAUCCGGAUUUAUUGGGUUUAAAGGGUGCGCAGGCGGAGGUGCAAGUCAGCGGUCAAAUUGCGGGGCUCAACCCCGUACUGCCGUUGAAACUGCAUCCCUUGAGUGCGCGAGAAGUAUGCGGAAUGCGUGGUGUAGCGGUGAAAUGCAUAGAUAUCACGCAGAACUCCGAUUGCGAAGGCAGCAUACCGGCGCGCAACUGACGCUCAUGCACGAAAGCGUGGGUAUCGAACAGGAUUAGAUACCCCAGUAA